GUCUAUAGCCAUAGCAUCCUGAAUGCUCCCGGUCUCAUUUGAUCUUGGAAGCUAAGCAGGGAUGGGCCUGGUUAGUACUUCGAUGGCAAAGGAUAAUGCAGCUGAGCACG
ensembl:rRNA 5S_rRNA 5S ribosomal RNA